CCACGCGCUCCGGUACUCGCUGCUCGCGGCUGGCCGGCUCGGGAUUCCGGGCUUUCUUCCCGAGACCGCGUCCCCCAGCUGGGCCGAAGGUGGACGCUCAGGGGCUGGAGGCUCAGCGGAAUCCCCUGCGUUCAGUAGCCCCGCUCUCCCCUGUCCCGAAGAUCAGGGAUAGCAGAAAUGAAAGUAUAAUGGAAGCAGCUGGAGGAUUCCAGGUCCACUUUCACCCAAGUAAUGGAGACGGAAGGUUCAUCGAAACUUCUUCAGCUGCAGAUCUAGAAGUCAUUAGCUAUUCUAGCAAAGUAUCUGUCACAGAAAGGUGCUUCAUAAAGGUCUGCACUGUGCUCUUUUGACCUGUGUCUUCAAGCAUGUGCUGUCAUAACAGAUUAAAGAUGACUGAAAAUUAUCUGCCACUCAUUGCGUGAAAGGUGGGAUCUGUAGACCUCCCUCUUGAAUUUGGGAGGGUUCUGUGACUGCUGUGACCAAUGAAUAUGGCAGAAGUGACGCUUUGCCAACUUCUGGGUCCAGGCUAUACGAGACAGGCAGUUCCACUCACUGUCUCUUAGAUCCAUGUAAAAAGUUCAUCUACCCUGCUGGAAAAACCAUGUAGAGAGGCCCUGAGACUACAUUGGGUGGGAGAGGGGCUCAGCUGCACCAUCUUCCAACUGUCCCCAUCAAGAUGACAGAAAUAUAAAUGAAGCCUUCUUGAACUCCAGACCAUCCAUGCUACAAGCUAAAUGCCACCAAGCGACCCCAGUUAAUACCAUGUGGAGCAAAAAUAUCACUUAACCAAGCACUGCCUGAGUUUCUGACCCCACAGAAUUCUGACCCCAUACAAAUAAAAUAAUUUUUGUAAUUUUUUAUAAUUCGUCAUGUAAUAGAUAAAUGGAACAGCCUUCUUCCAGUCUUUUAAAUAGCUGCAAGAAAUCUUAUUCAAGCAGAAGGAAGUUUCUACUUUGUUCAUACAGUCUCAAGACAUCCCUGGAGCCUUUCAAGGGAAAUUUGGGCAGAAGUAGGUAGAGAGGUAAAGCUAUUAUGUAACAUUACUUAACAUGAUUAAAACCACCUUAAUGUCUCCCAUCCUCAAAGGCUGCCAGUGAAUUGGAAAUUAAUGGAUUAAAUGAGGACAGAGAAACUAGUAUUUGUGCAUAUGCACUGUGCCAGGUAUUUAACGUAUCUUAGCUCAUGUGGUCUUCGAAACAACCCCAUAUUGUAGUAUCAGGCUCACACGGGUAACUAACUAGUGCAAAGACACAAGGCUCACAAACUGCUACUUGACCCUAGAGCUCUUUGACUCCGAUUCCCAUGUACGUGCCCCAAUACCAUGUUGACUCCCAAGGUGUAAAUCUUCAGGUAU
rnacentral:lncRNA from 10 species